rnacentral:rRNA from 1 species
CUGACGAGUGGCGGACGGGUGAGUAAUGUCUGGGAAACUGCCUGAUGGAGGGGGAUAACUACUGGAAACGGUGGCUAAUACCGCAUAACGUCGCAAGACCAAAGAGGGGGACCUUCGGGCCUCUUGCCAUCAGAUGUGCCCAGAUGGGAUUAGCUUGUUGGUGAGGUAACGGCUCACCAAGGCGACGAUCCCUAGCUGGUCUGAGAGGAUGACCAGCCACACUGGAACUGAGACACGGUCCAGACUCCUACGGGAGGCAGCAGUGGGGAAUAUUGCACAAUGGGCGCAAGCCUGAUGCAGCCAUGCCGCGUGUAUGAAGAAGGCCUUCGGGUUGUAAAGUACUU